GGUAAAUCUUCUGCUUCAGAGACUUUGUAACCAGACCCGGGUUCAGCUGCUUGCUGCUUGAAAGCCACACAUAAGGGGUGAAGUUUGGUGGAAAAGCAGGUUUGAUCAGAGAGCCAGCAAACUAAGAAGAUGAGAGUAUACAGGAUGCAAUGAAAGAUACAUCAACACCGAUUCAGAAGAAAUGAAAACAAAGCAAUUAGUCACAAUAAUAUAACACAAUUCUACAUCAUGGAAAAUUUGGAGCUGGAAACGUGGCAGAGACAUCAGGUAAUGAAACCAUUUUCCAUAGCCUCAGUGGACGUUAGAAUGCUGUUAGAUAUUUAUAAACGUAUGUUUUGCCUGGAAGGAGUCUCCGUUUUCGACAAAUAUUCUGAAGUAUAUACAUACAAUAAAUG
rnacentral:lncRNA from 10 species